UUUUUUUUUUUUUUUUUUUUUAGGGCUAUACCCAUGGCACAUGGAGGUUCCCAAGCUAGGGGUUGAAUUGGAGCCACAGCUGUUGGCCUCCGCCACAGCUGCAGCCACGCUAGAUCCUUAACCCACUGAUGGAGGCCAGGGGUCCAACCCGCCACUGCAUGGUUCUUAGUCACUUCUGCUGCACCACAGUGGGAACUCCUGGUUCUCCCCCUAAAAUAGGGCACGAGAGACUGCCUGUCUGUGAGCAUCCAACAAACACUGGCUGCCGGGGUUAUGGAGGGCUUGCUGAGCAGGUUGGGAUCCUUAGGAGCAUAGACGUGGGGGGCCAGCCUCCCAGACAUGGGGGAGAUCUUGGGCUUCACUUGAUUGUCUUGGGGUGUGUCCCCGGGAGCCGUUUAUUGGAAAUGCAGCCACUGAAGCUCGGGAGGAUGAUGCGGGACCCAGGCUGGGAACAGCAGCUCCAGAGUGGUCCAGUCCCCCUCUUCCUGGUGAACUCCAACCGGAGUGGCCCGCAGGGUGUGAGGAUGAAAUGCUGACACCCAUAACACUCGGAGCCUCGUCGCUCCCACGCGGGGAGUCCCCGGCUUCUAACUGCGCCUCAUUCAUUGGUUGAUUCGGGCAGGGUUUGGGGGUCAGAGGUCACAGUGAUGAACAAAACAGAGUCCUCAACCUUCACGAAGGUCACAUUCUAGUGGGGAGGAUGGAUCCAGUAACCACAUAAGCAAAUCAAUUUGAAUGAACUGUUGGGGCGUGCAGAACAAUAAAGCAGCCUAAGGGGACAGAGGUCUUUUGGGGUGACCAGGAAGAUGACAGAUGAGCAAAGCCCCUAGUCUAGUGAGGGGGGACAAGGAAGAAAAUGUUAGGGGCGUGUGUUCCAGGCGGAGGUCUCGAGGUGGGGCUGGACCCGGUUGGGUGGGAAGGCCUGCAGGUGUUGGGGGAGGGGCGGAUGGGAAAUGAGGCCAAAGUGGAAGCUACCAGAUGUUUUAAACAGGCAUUAUUGGCAGAUCUCCCGGCAGGUUUAGGUGUCCUUCCCCCAUCUGUGCUGGGUGUGUGCACAGCCAUUGUAGUGGUCACCCACGGGGCUAGGAACCCCCCGCCCCAGGAGCCCUUGAGCUCAGGGACCCUGUCGAUUUGGCUCCUCCCCGGCACCUGGCAUGCAGUCCGUGCGUCACAGACGUACAGGUGAAUUUGACGGCUGAUGGGCGCUGUGUCUGGGGGCGGUGGGGCUCUCACACCCCAGACACCAUGGUAAGAAUGUCAAGCAUUUCAUCAUCCCGUUCUCUCAUCACAGGAGCCCCACCCCUGGGUGUUGUCCCCAUUCUCUAGAUAAGGAAAUAGCCUCCGAGGCUUCUCCAAGUCUCAAGGAUACACACCUAGGAGCCUGCUGAGCUGAGGUUGGAAGGCAGGACCUUCGGGGCGGUGGUGCUUUGAUGGCAGAGCUGGAAGAAGCUGUGGUUUCUGCCCUUCCCAGGGCUGGUGUGUGCACGUCCCAGGGUCUCGGGGUUGCUUGCCCUUCUGGGUCCCGACAGGGCCACUUGGCUUCCCUGCCAGCCUAUGGCAUCCCGUGGGGCUGUCCCUCAGCCCUUCAUAAUCCACAAAUGGAGAAGUGGCACUUAGAGCGAAUUUAUGCAGGUGGCAGCAGUGUAAGGCGUGAGAAUAAAGCUUUGGAGCUGCUGCACAUAAACGGGAGUGUAAAGGAAAAGCUUUUUAUUUGGUUUCCGAGCCAGACUUUGAGAAGCCAGUGGGCUGUGCGGUCUGGAAGGAGGCGUUCCGGGCGGUGGGUCGGAACGGGGGCCGUUUGCAAGGCAGGAGGAGCGUGGCGCUUGUGCAGCUGGAACAGCCAAGAGCCUGGGGUGUCAAUACACAGGACACAGAAGAAAGCCUUUACCCAAAAGGUGGAAGGCGGGGAGAAGGGGAAAGGCAGCGCCUCUCCGGCGUGUUUGAGGAGGAGCACCCUUGAGGUAACCCAUGUUUGGCAGCUUUUAUAACUUCCUCCCCGUAAUGGGCUGGGCAAGCCCAGAACAGGCUGAGGUUUUAUUUUCAUGUAAUGACGCCGAGUGGACCAGGGGCAGCUCUCCAGCAGCGGCUCGCCUGGCGCCCUGCCCGUGGAGGGAGGCAGGAGCCCCUGGGUCCAGGGCAGUGAGACUGCCCCCCCUGCCUGCUGCUGGGGAAGUGGGGCAGGAUGCCCGGCCGCCUCUGGAUGCUGGCUUGGCUUAGUGUGGUCCUUUCACGUAAGGGCCCCUAGGGCCGGUGCCAGGGAGGGAGGUGGCGGCAGAGUGGGCAGGCAGGUGAGCGCUGGUCGAUGCUGAGGUUGGUGGGGGGGACCUGCAAUGCAGCGGUAGUCCGGGGAACCUCCAAAUGAUCUUCUUUGCGCUUCUGGUCGCCGCUUUUGCCAAGGUGCUUUCCACAAACUGCACCGAUACUCUCUUCUCUUUGGUAACGGGUACAUGGGUGUGUGCGAGGUAAUUUGGAUGGGAGGUUACGGGUGUGGUUAAAAAUGGUCUCCAUGGAGUUCCCAUCGUGGCGCAGUAGUUGACAAAUCUGACUAGGAAUCAUGAGGUUGCGAGUUCGAUCCCUGGCCUUGCUCAGUGGGUGAAGGAUCCGCCGUUGCCGUGAGCUGUGGUGUAGGUCGCAGACGCCGCUCGGAUCCUGUGUUGCUGUAGCUCCGGCGUAGGCUGGUGGCUACAGCUCCAGUUCGACUCCUAGCCUGGGAACCUCCAUAUGCUACAGGAGCGGCCCUAGAAAAGGCAAAAACAGAAAAAGGUCUCCAUGACGCUUUUGACCUGCAGCAAUUUUGAGAGCCACAGGCUCGGGGAGCGCCCAACUAGCUACUUGGAGACACUAACCCAACUGCAACUUCCCUUAGAUGAGGGUAGGAUUUACUGUUUGACGUUUUUGUGACAGACUCUUUCUCCCUGUUUGCUCCCAUGUGUUAUACGGGAACAAUAUGUAUUUGAAGGUUUUUUUUCCAAGUAUUUUUUAUCAUAAGAGCUUGAGGUUUGUGUUUAACCCAUGGUAAUUGGGGGAAAAUGAGAGUUCAGCAAAAAGAAGAUCAGAGUCAUUUGAGUCCUGUCAUUCAGUCCUAUGUAAAAAAUAAACAGCAAGGUCCUACUGGAUAGCACAGGGGGCUAUAUUCAGGGUUUUAUAACAGACUGAAAGGUAAUCUGCAAAGAAUGUGUAUAAAACUGAAUCGGUGUGCUACACACCUGAAGCCAGCUGUGCUUACUUCAAAAAACGAACUCUGUCAUUCAGGAUGAUAGCUGCUGCUGUUUUUGGGUGUUUAUAUCUUCUUCCAGACUGCUUUUUUUUUUUCUUUUUUCUUUUUUUAGGGCCGCACUUGAGGCACAUGGGGGUUCCUGGACCAGGCGUCGAAUCAUAGCUACAGCUGCCGGCCACAGCCCCGCAGAAUCCGAGCCACAUCUGUGACCUACACCACAGUUCACAGCAAUGCCAGAUCCUUAACCCACUGAGUGAGGCCGGGGAUCGAACCCACAACCUCGUGGUUCUUAGUCGGAUUCAUUUCUGCUGCGCCACAGCAGGAACUCUCAGACUCUUUCUUAGUGAGUAUAAAUGAAUGUGAAAUACAGUCUAAUCAGUGGUGGCUCACAUUUGGGUGUUACUCUUUGCCAGCAUUUUACAUGUAUGCACUCAGGUAAUCACUCAAAAUCCAAUGAUGGGUUUUAUUAUGAAACCUUUCAUACAGAUGAGAAAGCUGAGGCCGCGGCUGGUAAAGACCUUGCUUGAGAGCAUAGAGAUGCGGAGCCAAGCUGAGGCUGGAACCCAGGCGAUCUGUGUCCAUAGCCCGUGCGUUUAGCUCCUCGCCACACUGUCUUUCCAGAGAGUGGGGCGGAACUCUUCGUAGUGAUUUAUAAGCUGCUUUUUUUCGCUUACUAUUUUUAUGAACCCUUGGUGAUGUCGCUAAGCUUACAUCUAUAGCGUUAUUCACCUUGGCUGUGUUGUGAUCUGUCCAUCCUUCAACUGGAAUUCUGAUCUCCUCUGUGGCCAUUUUGAGGAAUAAUAAUAACUAUUAAAAAUGAACAUUGAGGCUCUGAGCCUGGUGCUGUGCUAAGAGCGGAGUGCCUGUUACCUCAUUUGAUCCUCUUAGGGACGAAGGCUUUGUGUAGAAAAACAAGCUAGGGAGGAUCGGGGUAAAUUUUCCGGGUAUUGCCGUGACAUAACACAUCAACUGGAGAUUUUUGACCUCACUUUCACAUAAGGUUACAGAUGUAGUAAUACCUGAGGGUUUGUUAAUUUUUAAAACAACUUGUUGUUUUGAAAGAGUUUGACUCAGAGGAAGCUGUGAAAAUGGUACAGAAAAUUGCUGUGUACCUUUCACCUUGGUUCCCCUAAUGACACCUCCGGUAACCAUUGCAGGCUGUCAAAACCAGGAAAGUGACAUUCCUGUGAGCUCGGGUUCUGUUAUUAAGGAUAAAAUUUUCUUAAAAUAUAAGCACUUAAAAUGCAUCCCACCUGAUAAACCUAGUUCCGUAGAUCUGUGUUAAGUAGAGUCUUGGAGUGGAGAGGGCUUGGGCCCCACUGCUGCCUCAAAGAGGUGAACACUGUUUGAGCUCCAUCAGCAGGUAAGGGUUGGAGGUCAGAGAGGUUAAGUCACUUGCACGAGGUCACACAGCUGUCGAGCUGGGAUUUCAAGCGCUCCGAUUCUCAAAUCUGCACAGAGGCCCCCACCCUCCCCAGCAUCACUUUAGGCUUGUUACUUUGUGUGGUGAGGCUGUGAGUAUAAGUAGGUGUGUGUCAACACACACACAGGAACACACAGCAGACGUGGCCCUACACUCCAGAGCUGGAGCCGGAGAGGACGUGGAGGGCAUUUCUUCCUGCUCCUUGUGGAGUAGGGAGCAUCUGCGUGCCCCGUGUUGCCCCAUCCCCUGGGUCUCCACGGGCUCAGCUUCCUCCUGGAGGCGCCUGGACCGUCAUGGGCCGAGCCUCCUGGCUUUGCCUGCUCUGCCCUGGCUUCUCCCAUCUGCCCACCCCGUGCCUCUCAGCCAGUGGCUGGGACUCCAGGGAAGAGAAAAAGGCACGUGUGUAGGGAAGAUUCCAGAAAUACCAUUUUGCUACAGUCCUGUCAAGUAGGAAGAGAUCGCCCCCCGCCCCAGUCGGGCGCUCUCUGUCACUGCCUUCUCUCCCACUCUCCUGCAGAGCUUGAGCGGCCAGCUCCCCCCACUUAUGUCAUCCCCAGGACAGACACCACACACCCCCAUGCACCUUCCCAACCACAGCCAUGCUGGGAACUGAAGACGUGUAUUUCUGGAAGACGUCAGGGUCCCGACGAGUUGACCCCUAGAUUUGGUGCGUGGAGCUGUCGGAGGGCAGAGCAGGAUUGUCCCAGAUCCCCCCAGCCCCACCCCCUCUUCAGACGUCCUGGAUGUGGCUGCCGCUCUUAGGGGACCUUCAGUCUUGGGUGUCUGUAGGUGGGAAAGAGCGUCUGGUGGCCUGCAGGGACCUCCCGAGCAUUUGGGACCAAGGCCUUGCUUGCUGAAGCUUCUGGCCAUUCUUGGUGGGGAAAGGAUCUGGAGCUGGGGGCCACACCUGGGGGGGCCGGGGGUGGAGAAGAUUCCUUUGUAGGGCUCCGUCUGAGCCAGCUGAGCACCGGGCUGUGAGUUAGGCACUGGUUGCUAAAGAGCAUCCCCCCUCUAAACGAGUCCUCGGCCGGGUCCCGUUCCCGGCAUCCUCUCGGGCCCUCGGAGGUGGGACUGCCUCUCCAGCUGGGAGGAUGGAGAGCCAGGAAUUCUCUUGCCUUCCCCUUGGACCUGCCCUUGAUUAACUUCGCAAUGCUCCAUCCACACCCUGACCUCUGGUAUGCGGGGUGGACAGCUGCUCUCCCCAAACAGAGGUGCUACUGGAAGAACAUUCCAGGCCAAUAGGUAACAGGUGCCUACCAGAGAGAGUCUUUGUGGCAGGGGCACCUAAAUGAGGGUAAGAGCGGUUGAGUUGCCCUGGUGUGGAAUGGAGAUGGCCUAUGGUGGUUUCUCUUCAGGUCAAAGACAUCUUUUGCCUUUUACUAAAGAUAUCCAUGGAGCCAGCAUUCUGAGUUUAAUCAGGUUUUUGAGGCCCUUCCUUGGCAGGGCUAG
rnacentral:lncRNA from 1 species